rnacentral:rRNA from 1 species
AUUGAACGCUGGCGGCAGGCCUAACACAUGCAAGUCGAGCGAGCGGCGGACGGGUGAGUAAUGUAUGGGGAUCUGCCUGAUGGCGGGGGAUAACUACUGGAAACGGUAGCUAAUACCGCAUACCAUCAGAUGAACCCAUAGGGGAUUAGCUAGUAGGUGAGGUAACGGCUUACCUAGGCGACGAUCCCUAGCUGGUCUGAGAGGAUGAUCAGCCACACUGGAACGGAGACACGGCCCAGACUCCUACGGGAGGCAGCAGUGGGGAAUAUUGCACAAUGGGCGCAAGCCUGAUGGAGCCAUGCCGCGUGGAUGAAGAAGGCUGUCGGGUUGUAAAGUACUUUCAGUCGGGAGGCGUUACCGACAGAAGAAGCACCGGCUAACUCCGUGCCAGCAGCCGCGGUAAUAC